rnacentral:tRNA from 1 species
GCUUCUAAAGGAUAACAGCUCAUCCACUGGUCUUAGGAACCAGAAACUCUUGGUGCAAAUCCAAGUAGUAGCU